rnacentral:lncRNA from 1 species
AGGAUCAGCAUGACUGUAGUGUUCCUGGCUUAACCCUGAGAGGUUGCUGUUCCCAGUGACUAUCUAGGCUGAAGCCCAUGUAGGAUUUGAAGAGACUGAUCCAGGCUUUAUGAGUGGCUGCGACCAUGCUGAUGCUGUAUCAUGUCUCAGACGACUGGAUUCCUAAAAACUCCCCAAAUGAAGCAGGUCCAAUUAGUAUGGUGUCACCAAUAUAUGGAUCCAUGCGAUUGAUUAUCUGUGGAGUGUCCGGAUGGUCCAGGACCCUUCAGAUUAUAUUACGAUGGAGAACAGGAAAAUUAACCAAAACCUGGGCAAGACUGCGAAUGUGUGCUACUAUCCAUCCCAGUUCUGGAGGCCGGAGUUGGAAAUCAGUUUCACUGGGCACACAUGGAGGUGUUUGAAGGGCUGCCCGUGCCAGAGGCUCUCAGGGAGAAUCCCUUCCUUGUCUGUUCCAGCUCUACCUCCUCCUCUGCUGUGUGGGGCUGAGCUGUUGUUCUAGAAGAAAAAAGGAUGUCUUGUCCUGUGUGAACUGGAACAGCGCUUAGAAAUCGAGGAGCGUGGCCCUGGGAACAGAGGCUGUGUGCUGUUGUUUUUGCUUCCUCAUUAAUGAGCAUGGGCCUUCAGUGAGCUCCUUUCCCUUGCUGGCCUUCAUUUGUAAAAUGUUGGCUGACGGCUAAGGGUGUUUAUUCCUCUAAAAUCACCUAAUUAGAAGAGAAGAAAGGAAAAUACAAAACAAAAUUAAAUAUAAGCAGCAUGUUCCACAUUUUAGACUUACUUAGAUUCUUAUCUCUCUGCAAUAAUCCUAAUGCUAAUUCACUUUCUCAGAGGUGUCCAGCGCAGGAUGGGCUUAGAUCAUCCGUGGAAUUGCUUGUUCUAUAAGCUUUAGUUACUUUGAUGACUGGAAGUAUGUAAGUUCAGAGACAUGCAUUAAAUACAUGUUUCUGGUUUUCCCCAAAUGACCCAUGGACAGAUAGGUGCCUGUAUUUAUUUUGUGUCAAAUUUCAUCUUAUUCAUUUAGUUGGAGACAUAGUUAUCUGAUGGGUUCUCUGGGGUAAUCAUUUAGAACUCCUGAACUUUAGCAAGAAGCUGUAAGAAAGUCCAAGUUCUUUUUCUUAAAACUUCAAAUAAGGUUCCCCAGUGAGUCUGGGGAAGGCCAUGACAUUGUCAGAAAAGCUGUUCCGUAUCUGUGCCUCCGAGGUUCCUGCACGGCACUGCUGAAUGGCCAAUUUGCUGCGAAUACGCAUCGAUCGUCUGAUGCACGGCGCUCUGCACUGAGGACACCGUGAAGAUGAACCGUGGUUCAUUCCAGGGGUUAGCUGAGUUCUGAAACUGGAAAGUGAACGACCAUUUAUCAGUAGGUGAAACAGAACUGUGCUGGAACACAGCCAGCGGGAGUUCAAUUAGGCAGAAACAAAUCGGGGGGAAAGGAAGGGAUGGCGUUCUGCAUGGGGCUCAGGCACCAUCUCCUUAGAAACGGCUGCUGCAAAGCCGCCGCAAUAAAUGCUCUGCUGAGUCUGUCCACAGCCCCACCCGGUAGAGAGGCCACUAAGGGACAAAGCCAGGAAACUCUGGCAGCUUUCUCUGCCACAGAAAGUGAACUGGUAGCAGCAAAGCUGGUUUAAAUACAUCUUAGAACAGAAAUAGGGAAGCUAGCUUCUUGGGGAGCUGUUCUGUGUUCUUGGCUUGUUUGUGUGUUUGGCAAGAAAUACAAUGGAAAAAGCCUCUCCUAUCAAACACAAAGGAUGCUUUCAUUAAGUCAUCCUUCCUUUUCAUUGGAUCAAAUGGUUUUCAAAAAUGGGAUUUCUGAUUCAAUUAAAUGAUGUGGGGAAAACUUGGGAGCUUCCAAUUAAGCUUAUUUUCCUCUCCUUUAAAAUUCCCUCCCCCCAUUUUUCUGGAUGUUUUAUAAUGUAUCUACUAUAUUCAUACAAUAGUGCAUGGUCAUUCUCUUUAAAUAAAUAAUUAUGAAUUUAAUGGGGA